AUUGAACGCUGGCGGCAUGCCUUACACAUGCAAGUCGAACGGUAACAGGUCUUCGGAUGCUGACGAGUGGCGAACGGGUGAGUAAUACAUCGGAACGUGCCCGAUCGUGGGGGAUAACGAAGCGAAAGCUUUGCUAAUACCGCAUACGAUCUACGGAUGAAAGCAGGGGACCGCAAGGCCUUGCGCGAACGGAGCGGCCGAUGGCAGAUUAGGUAGUUGGUGGGAUAAAAGCUUACCGAGCCGACGAUCUGUAGCUGGUCUGAGAGGACGACCAGCCACACUGGGACUGAGACACGGCCCAGACUUCUACGGGAGGCAGCAGUGGGGAAUUUUGGACAAUGGGCGAAAGCCUGAUCCAGCCAUGCCGCGUGCAGGAUGAAGGCC
rnacentral:rRNA from 1 species